CCUGUCCUGUCCUGGCACUGGGGCCAGAGGAGAAGGCGGGGUGCCAGCAGCCACAGCUUGCUUUGCGUUCUUCCUCAUCCACAUCUUCCCAGCAACGGGUGAGAGUUCAACUUCACAGCAACUGAACAACUAUGAGAAAUCUGAUUGAGGACAUGGAUAGGACCAGCACAGAGGAAGCUGAUAAUUCAGAGGGAGGAGAAAUUCUAUGCCAAGGAUGUGGGUUCCCACAUGCUGAAAAAUGGAGAACAAAUGCAGAAGGCUUUCUUCUUCAGCCUUCUCUGUUGCUAAGAAGCCUUGGGGGCACCUUCCUCUUGAAUGGGAUGUCCCAGUGAAGACUUCUCAGUGUAAUUAAGACAGUCAUCUCGCGGGAUUGUAAUAAAGGUAACCUUUAC